ACCAUGUUUUGGGCUUCGAAGCUUCGAAGCUUCGGGGUGCAGCGCAGCAGGCUGACAUGUUCUCCUGUCUGUCUGUCUCCAUCUCCUCGGUUUCAGUGCCACUGCCUCACUACUGUACACACAUGCACCUCGACACACACAAAACAGCGAUAUCCAUAUGAGAAUAACUAAUAUUAAAUCUUGAAUAUGAAU